rnacentral:lncRNA from 1 species
CCCGGAAUUUCGCUUUAUGGACAACAGAUGAGCGGUCUUUUCUUAACGUUGGCUUAACUUCAGUAUUGAUUUCUGAAUCAGUUCCGUCAUCCAGUUCUGGAUCAUAAGUAAAAGGACACAAUAACGUUCCAAAAGAGACGGUGAUGGAAUGGAAGCCCGCCUAUGCCCAAUAGCUGAGUUCUCAACAAUUUAUUAUCUCUUACGGCGGAGGUAGAUCACUCUUAUAUCACAGGAAAUCGCAAUCAUUUAUUUCUAUCCACACGUCGGAAGCACAAAACAACGGGUGCAGCAGCAAAUAGAGAGAGCUGACCCCUUGGAGAUGAAAACAGAGGAUGCUAGUAGCCACAGGCAAAGGAGAUGCAGCAUUCCAUGAUUACAACAUGUAUCUUAAUUUCUAAACCGGUGUUGAAUUGUACAUAGCACGAGGCAGCUGAUAGAAUUUCUUAUCCCGCCCCCUUCUUUGGAAUCACAAAGCAUACUAAUUUGCUUUAGAUUACAAUGGUGAAAAGGAUUGAU